GACGAAGGGUCCUAGCGUUGUUCGGAAUUACUGGGCGUAAAGCGCAGGUAGGUGGCUUUUCAAGUCGGGUGUGAAAUCCCAUGGCUUAACCAUGGAACUGCAUUCGAUACUGUUAAGCUUGAAUAUGGGAGGGGAUGGUAGAAUUCCUGGUGUAGUGGUGAAAUACGUAGAUAUCAGGAGGAACAUCUGUGGCGAAGGCGGCCAUCUGGCCCAAUAUUGACACUGAGCUGCGAAAGCAUGGGGAUCAAAC
rnacentral:rRNA from 1 species